UACGUAGGGGGCAAGCGUUGUCCGGAUUUAUUGGGCGUAAAGAGCGUGUAGGCGGUUAGGUAGGUCCGUUGUGAAAACUCGAGGCUCAACCUCGAGACGCCGAUGGAAACCAUCUGACUAGAGUCCGGAAGAGGAGAGUGGAAUUCCUGGUGUAGCGGUGAAAUGCGCAGAUAUCAGGAAGAACACCCGUGGCUAAGGCGGCUCUCUAGUACGGUACUGACGCUGAAUGCGCGAAAGCGUGGGGAGCAAACGGG
rnacentral:rRNA from 1 species